rnacentral:rRNA from 1 species
GGUGACAGCGGCGGACGGGUGAGUAAUGUCUGGGAAACUGCCUGAUGGAGGGGGAUAACUUACUGGAAACGGUAGCUAAUACCGCAUAACGUCGCAAGACAAAGAGGGGGACCUUCGGGCCUCUUGCCAUCAGAUUGCCCAAUGGAUUAGCUAGUAGUGGGGUAACGGCUCACCUAGCGACAUCCCUACUGGUCUGAAGGAUAUCAACACUGGACUGAACACGGCCAAUCCUACGGGAGGCAGCAGUGGGGAAUAUUGCACAAUUGGGCGCCAGCCUGAUGCAGCCAUGCCGCGUGUAUAGAAGAAGGCCUUCGGGUUGUAAAGGUACUUUCAGUCGGGAGGAAGGUGGUAAGGUUANUAAGCUUAUCAAUUGAUCGUUACCGACAGUAAGGAAGACAACGGGAUUACUCCGUUNCCCACAGCCAGGCCCGCGGGUAACAUUAACGGGAAGGUGCAAAGGGGUUAAUCGGAAAUUCACUGAGGCGUUAAGAGGCGCCAACAGACAGGCGGUUGNAUUGGAGUCAAAAUGUGAAAAUCCCCGGGCUAUAGCCCUGGGGGAAUUGCAUCUUGAUACCUGGUCACGCGUACGAAGUACUUGUA